GAUGAACGCUGGCGGCGUGCCUAAUACAUGCAAGUCGAGCGAACGGACGAGAAGCUUGCUUCUCUGAUGUUAGCGGCGGACGGGUGAGUAAAACGUGGAUAACCUACCUAUAAGACUGGGAUAACUUCGGGAAACCGUAGCUAAUACCGGAUAAUAUUUUGAACCGCAUGGUUCAAAAGUGAAAGACGGUCUUGCUGUCACUUAUAGAUGGAUCCGCGCUGCAUUAGCUAGUUGGUAAGGUAACGGCUUACCAAGGCAACGAUGCAUAGCCGACCUGAGAGGGUGAUCGGACACACUGGACUCGAGACGCGGUCCAGACUCCUAAGGGAGGCAGUAGUCGGGCAUCUUCCGAGAUGGGCGACAGCCUGACGGAGCAACGCAGCGUGAGUGAUGAAGGUCUUCGGAUCGUAAAACCUUGUUAUUAGGGAAGAACAUAUGUGUAAGUAACUGUGCACAUCUUGACGGUACCUAAUCAGAAAGCCACGGCUAACUACGUG
rnacentral:rRNA from 1 species